rnacentral:rRNA from 1 species
GCUGCAGAAGAAGCACCGGCUAACUCCGUGCCAGCAGCCGCGGUAAUACGGAGGGUGCGAGCGUUAAUCGGAAUUACUGGGCGUAAAGCGCAUGCAGGUGGUUUGUUAAGUCAGAUGUGAAAGCCCGGGGCUCAAACCUCGGAAUUGCAUUUGAAACUGGCAAACUAGAGUACUGUAGAGGGGGUAGGAAUUUCAGGUGUAGCGGUGAAAUGCGUAGAGAUCUGAAGGAAUACCGGUGGCGAAGGCGGCCCCCUGGACCAGAUAACUGACACUCAGAUGCGAAAGACGUGGGGAGGCAAACAGGAUUAGAUACCCUGGUAG